UAGCCCCAGCUGGCACUGCAGUGUGCGGGGCUGGCUGAGGGGAGGGCAGGCUUCGGCCGCUGCGCUGAGGUGAUGGGAGAGGCGGCUCUGAUAGACGUGGUCUGUGUCCGCCACCUCGUCCUCGUCCUCCCUCAGCGCCCUCGGGUACCACAGAGCGGGUGAUGGGUUAGGCUGAGCAGGAGGGAGGCCUUGGCACCGCACAGGCAGCACGGGGCAGGGUAUCACCCUGAGAUGUGGCAGCCAAACGCAUCUCCUCAUCACCAUGGCUCCCUGUUAUUAGGUGCUGCUGCUGGGAUCCCUGGUCAGGCAGGAUUCCAGCGUUUAAGGGCCAUCGGAACAAAAUGUCUCUCCUCAUCCUGGAGGAGUUCGCAAUCAUCAAGGUGAUUUGCCUGGGUUUUAAGUUAGGGAUGUGCCUGAGAGUCUCUGUGGCAGAGAAGUUGAGGCUCGUAUGGGAGGGGCUUUUUCCAGGGAUGGUUUGCUGGUGUCUGGCAAAGCUUGGAUGGAAGCCUGGGAAUCCACCUUCUCUUUGCCAGGCUUUGAUGCUUGGGCUCGUUGCCUUUAAUCUUUGGCAUCUUUGCAGACAAUAUCAGAGCUAUCAAAGAAUUCUACCGCAACGUGAGCCACGAGACUGCUGGGAAAAGUACAGGGCUACAUCACUUGUCUGAAAGUCAACAACUGCAUGAAGCCAAUUGCUUUGUAAUGAUUUGUAUUUGUUAUGAGGCCGGGUUAAGGAGAUACAUAGGCUUUGGGCUGGGAGCACAUUUCAUACUGGGUAAGGCAUCACAGCCCUCCCAUACAACAGGGUUUGUGGAGGCUGCUUAUAAAGGUAGGGCCUGAAUCAUUAAAUCCAUUGAUAUCUGGAGACAUAGUUAGAGAUGAGCUGGGUUUUUACUGCUUUCUGUUUCUCACUUUAUUGGGAUAGAGCCCAGCCUGCUAGAUAUUUACUAUCUGCCAAGCUGGGAUGCUGAAUGCUGGAAGCAGCUGAAGAAUCCAGCCUGGUCCCUCACGCAUCCCAUUCCCUGAGCACACUCUGACACACGUGUCCAUCUUUCCCUUCCAUCACUAGCAAAAGGACAAACGAGCCCUGUGUUUGUGCUGUGGGAGGAGGCUGUGUGUUAUCUGGGAUGAUUCACCCUGAUAAAUAACCUCCUCGGAGGCCUGCUCUUGUUUAUAGCAACAGCCCCAAAUGCUGAAGAUGACAGCGAUUUUCAUGUGUGCUCUUCUCAUGCAUAUUUACCCAGCAGUUUUAUCAGAACCAUCUCAAGCAAACCUCAGUGUUUUUAUGAUUAAUUGACUAAUGGUAAAAAUAAAGGCGUUUGGAGAGGUGCCCAGUGAGCAGUGUGUAAUAUAGCAACCAGAGCCGGAGUCUCAGGGGAUUGUUUCUGGGAAAAUCCACAUUGGUUUAAAGGGACAGUGCUCCUUCCGCUCCCAGAGCGGGGGAAUCCCAGAUCCCUGAACAAAUCAUCAAGCCCUGCAAACUACAUCAUCAGCAUCUUCCUCUGGAAAACAUCAUCAUGUUAAUCCAUUUGUCCUGGCAGCCAGAUGAUUGAGAUUUGAAAACUAAAUGACACACGUUUGCUGCAACAGCAUAAACGCAAUAAUGGCUCUCCUCCAUUACACUUGUAACCUGGUUAUAAUGGCUUUAAUGAGCUUUCAGCCUCGUCAGCCAAAAAGAAAGAUUAUCACAUGUUGCUUUAUAUUAUAAAGUGUCCUUUGUGCUGCUGGUGGCUGAGUACCUGCAGUCACCCACUGCAUGGGGUGCCCGUGGUUGGUGGGUGCCUAUCCCAAAGCUGGGGGGCUCCCAAAACGGGGCAGGACAUGGCAGUGGUGUGAGCCCCAUAGGCUGCUGGACACCCUGUGAGGGGAACAGCUACCUGUCCCCAUUACACAGGAUUAUCCUACGGUGUGGAGUUACUCCAACCAUGUGUCUUCCCAGCUUAACUUAAUAACAGGCUGUGAGCUCUACUUUGAUGUGCUCCUGUUUUUCACUAGUACCAUAUUUAACUGGACUCAUCAUCAUAAACUGGAACUGUUUCACUUUCAGUGCCAGGCUGGGCUUCCUGUCGGACUGGCAAAGGACACACCUGCACGGUGGGUUUCUGCCGGGAUGGGGGAUCCUGUUAUCAACCGGGACAAAGGGAGCACAGGAAUCUGGAGCUGGUGGAUUCCUUUCCCCAAACAUGUGGCCAGACCUGUAAAUCCAGCUGCCUGGCUUUUUCUGUUUACUGGUUUCCAUGUCUGCUCCAGUAUGUUCUGGGAAUGUGCUGCAGGACUCUCCACUUCUUCCUGGGAAGCCUGUGGGUGGAACUGCAGCUGGUUUGCCCCUUCCAAAACCUGCCUCAAGGCUUCUUGUGUUUAUUAAACAUCAUCCCGUGUCUGUAUCCUGGGUAUUGCCUUUAGUGCUCUGCUGGCCAUGGGCUCUCAACACUGGUUCUGUGCUUCUGGCUGUGCCCCGCAAGUGCCGCUGUUACCCCAAACACAGCAAGAAACAACUGUUAGUUGUGGUUCCACUUGACAAGGCAACCUCUAAUUUGGGAUCCCAGCAAUAGAAUAACAGAAACUGUCCCUGCUGGGGCUGGGCCUCUGCUGUGGGUUAAUCACCUCGGAGGGCCGGGACCCAAGGGCUCGUGAAAACUCAAAAGAGGGGAGACUGAGAUGAGCUCUUAGGCAGAAGCUCUUCCCUGUGAGGGUGCUGAGGCGCUGGCACAGGGUGCCCAGAGAAGCUGUGGCUGCCCCAUCCCUGGCAGUGUUCAAGGCCAGGUUGGACACAGGGGCUUGGAGCAAGCUGCUCUAGUGGAAGGUGUCUCUGCCUGUGGCAGGGGUUGGAGCUGGAGGAGCUUUAAGGUCCCUUCCAACAUAAACCACUCGAUGACUCUAAUAUUAAACGCUUCAGUUUUCAUAUUUAACAGACCACAUGUGCUGACAGUACCUGCUGGCAAUAACCUCUUAGAUGGCAAUAGGAAAAAGAAAAACCCCAGAAGAAUGCUUUGCCAAAACAGGCUUGACAAACUUUAAAGACACAGUGGAGGAGGUGGAGGUAAUUUGGGUGAGCAUUAGGUGAUUUCAUCCUGUCCCUCGGCAGGGAUCUGCUCCAGGACUGUGAUGUAGCUAUGGCAGCAUGCUGCAUUUGUGGGAUGCUCAGCUGUUUAUGUGUGGUUUUCUUAAGAAAUAAAGUUAAAACUGUCCCUUUGCUUAUAAUUAAAG